rnacentral:rRNA from 1 species
CCUACGGGGGACAGCAGUGAGGAAUAUUGGUCAAUGGGCGCGAGCCUGAACCAGCCAAGUCGCGUGAGGGAGGACGGCCCUACGGGUUGUAAACCUCUUUUGCCGGGGAGCAACGGGCGCCACGUGUGGCGUCACUGAGAGUACCCGGAGAAAAAGCAUCGGCUAACUCCGUGCCAGCAGCCGCGGUAAUACGGAGGAUGCGAGCGUUAUCCGGAUUUAUUGGGUUUAAAGGGUGCGUAGGCGGAUCGUUAAGUCAGUGGUCAAAUUGAGGGGCUCAACCCCUUCCCGCCAUUGAAACUGGCGUUCUUGAGUUGAAGACACGUAUGCGGACUGCGUGGUGUAGCGGUGAAAUGCAUAGAUAUCACGCAGAACCCCGAUUGCGAAGGCAGCAUGCCGGCUUCCGCCUGACGCUGAAGCACGAACGCGUGGGGAUCGAACAGGAUUAGAUACCCCUGUAGUC